UCUUAUGGAUCAACAAAGAAAGUGGUUUCUUGAGAUGGAAAGUACUUCUGGUGAAGAUACUGUGAA
rnacentral:pre_miRNA from 1 species